AUCGCUUCUCGGCCUUUUGGCUAAGAUCAUGUGUAGUAUCCGUUCUUAUCAGUUUAAAAUUCUAUGGUUUUGAAUAUAGUUUAAGUGUGUCUUCAAGGGUACAUGUGUUGAAAUUUAAUCCCCAUUGUGAGGUAUUAAGAGAAUGAAAACUUAAUUCAACUCUC
rnacentral:snRNA from 1 species